AGUGGUGUUUAACUCCAGCCAUGGUUUCCCAGUGGAGCUGGAGAAGGAGGCCAGCAUUGCAAUGCCGAGGAAGAUGGUGUGGAGGUUGCAGGGUGUACAGCCGGAGCAAUUGAGGGGUUGUGACCUCCUGGAGCAGAAUACGAUGCACUCUGACCUGGCCCUGCAGAACUGUCUGGGUCGGGGUGGUGGAAAGCAUUACCCGCCUGGACCUCACCACCUCCAGCCUGCCUACUAGCUCCACUGGCCUGGGCGUCAUACUAGAGACUGAUACCAAGCAGAGAGCCAGGGUAGAGCCUGAAAACACAGAGAAUGAGCACAAUAGAGUUCGACCACAACCAUGGGAAUUCCACGCACCCUAUCCCUGUGUGAGGGUUAGAGUUAGGCUGUGUAAGGAUGUAACGGAUGUCUUCGGGAGAAAGAGAGGAGGACCAAAGCGCAGCGUGGUAAGUGUUCAUGAUGAUUUUAAUUAAGGAAAGCACUGAACACUGAAUCAA